GUCCACCUAGCUCAGUGGGUAGAGCGUGAGACUCUGAAUCUCAGGGUUGUGGGUUCAAGUCCCAUGUUGGGCA